AAAGGCGAUCAAAGCAACACUAAUGCAUUGGAUCUCAUCAGAACUUUGAAGUUAAGCGUGCUUGGGCGAGAGUAGUACUAGGAUGGGUGACCUCGUGUUGCAUUCU
rnacentral:rRNA from 1 species